GGUGAGAUGAUGCAAAUAUAAGAAGCACACGAGGGUGUGUUAAGAGCAGUGGGAGAGACCUAAAAAAUCUUUGUCGUGAGCCUAAUUACCAAAACGACUUCUCCUUCCACUGAACAUC
rfam:Macleaya cordata isolate BLH2017 scaffold8565, whole genome shotgun sequence.